AAACGAAAAUCCGUUGGUUUCACAGGACCGGGAGGGUUCCCCCUCUUCCCCCCCCAA
rnacentral:tRNA from 1 species